UAAAACAAAAACAACAACAACAAAAAAAAACAAUAGUGCUGAAAGCGGCAUUUUUUGGUUUUGUGAAGAAACAGUGGUUAAACUCUUAAAGCCACACGCCUUUCCGUGUUAAAUAGGAGUGUCGAGAUGGUGGGGUACCCGAUGGUGGUGGUGGUAUUAGUGUUUGUUUUUUUUUUGUAUACGAGCUAUUUUUCAUACAGAAGCUAACAGCUAGCUCUGAGACCUCAGCUGUGAGAGCAGGGUGGAGGAGCAGGGUGGAGUAACUGACUGCAGAAAUAAAAGGUCGUUGAAACGGGCCACUUGGUUCUUCAUGACGGCGGACGCGUUCCUCAGCUCGGCCGAAUAAUUCUCGUCAUUUCCUGCCAUGACGGUGACCAGGGUACCGUCAGGAACAUCACCGAGAGCCACCACCUGCAUAGGGGGAGAGCGCCAGUGUGAUGGCAGAACGGAGCACAGAAAAUUGGGGCUGUCGGUGCGCACGAGUUCUCCAGCGUGGUCCGCCAGCACGUCUACCACGGAGCGCGUGUCCGCCGUAUGCCGUGACCUCAGAGGACCCGACGCGCUCA